rnacentral:rRNA from 1 species
AGUGAACGCUGGCGGCGUGCCUAAUACAUGCAAGUCGAACGGAGUGGCGCACGGGUGAGUAAUAUAUAGCUAACCUGUCCCUUGCUGGAGGACAACAGUUAGAAAUGACUGCUAAUACUCCAUAGCAAGGGAUGAGACUAUAACGUAUCAGCUAGUCGGUGGGGUAACGGCCUACCGCGGCUAUGACGCGUAACUGGGCUGAGAGGAUGAGCAGUAAAAUUGGAACUGAGACACGAUUCGGACUCCUACGGGAAGGAGCAGAAGGGAAUAUUGCGCAAUGGGGGUGACCCUGACGCGGCAACGCCGCGUGAAGGAUGACACUGUUCGGAGCGUAAACUCCUUUUGAUAGGGAAGCGGUACCUAACGAAUAAGCACCGGCUAACUCCGUGCCAGCAGCCGCGGUAAUUC